rnacentral:lncRNA from 1 species
AAGCUUGUAACGACUUUUUUUGCUCUGGUUUAAUGAUGAAAUAGUAGCCAAGGGCAAAAGUUGUUUCAAUUGGAAACUCAAACCUGUGAUAAUUACACUGAGAUACUCAAUAACAAAAGCUAAGACUAUGAAAAGCAAACUUUAGCUUUUGAUACCUAGGUAAAUUUCGUCUUCAUUUAAGAUUUUUUUUAAAGUGAGAUCUGGUUUCUGAAUAAGACAUUUUCAGUUUCAGGGCCAUCAUUGCAAGAACGCCCACUGAAUCCACAAAGAUUCUACUCUUCCACGACUUGGGGCUAACAAGUUAAUAUGUAGCAAGUUUAAAAUAAGGAAUACGUUAACUGGGAUCUCACCAAAACUUUCACAACAGCAGACUGCUACUCAUUGUCUCAGCAUGAAAUCCUGACUGUGAAAAUUGUGGCUUUGGACCAGAUCUGUGAUUUCACUGGGAUAGGGAAUUUCAGGUGAAGAAAGUCUUCCCACCAAUGCAAGAAGGCAUAAAUUAUCAACUCCUGAGAUUCUACUCUUCUGGUCCAGCUUUUAAGAGUCUAUGCUUCCCCUGGGAAUACUCAUGUGACCUGGGGCAGUGAAAGAAGGAGAGAACAAGGAUAACAAUUCGUACAAAAACAAUGUCAUUGUAAAAAGGAACAACUUUGAGAGCCUUAAAGACCUCUGAUCGACAAGGAACAGCGAUGAUUGCAGAAGGCAUUAUGAUGAAGCGGGCUAGCCACCUCCAGAGA